rnacentral:sRNA from 12 species
CCAGCCGAGCCUCUUGACAAAGCUUAAAUAGGCUGGG